rnacentral:lncRNA from 1 species
UACAUUGAAAUGGAUCGAUGGUAAUUAAGUAUAGAUAUAUCUCCAACAUAGCAUUUUUGAAACAAUUUAUUAUGGCAAGAGUUUCUCAUAAACUCAUCACGGCCGGGUACGUACUAUAUCAGGACCAAAAUCAACGAGUCUAAAUUGGCCACACGACAACGACUUUGUUUUUUUUUUUUUUUUUACUUAAUUUGUAGUGGAAACGAAACCAUAACUUUCACAAAUUUACACUGUGAAACUGAUUGGAUCCUUAACCACCACCAUACGCAGGUUCAUGAUGAUAACAAUUUUUUGAAUGGUACGUAUUAACAAACGUAGCAAUUCUA